GCGGGCUGCACAGGCCCCCGGGAGGGGCGGUGUGGAGAGUGACCUGUGCUUGCACACAGGCUUCUUGGUGGCGGCAGCAGCAGCCUUAGCGUCCCACGCCCGUCUCUGGGGUCCGCAUUGUUAGCCGCGGCUCGCGCCUGUCUCUGGAGCUUGUUUAGGCGGCGCUCUUAAUCCCCUCUCCUCACACACCAGGAAACAAAGAGGCAAGAAAAAGUCUGUUGCCUCUUCGGCAGCUGCAGACUUUUUCCCGGACUCCCUCCCGGCUAGCUGUGGUGCGCUAACCCCUUCAGGCUGUGUUCACGCCGCCAACCCCAGUCCUCUCCCUGGGAUCCGACCGAAGCCCGAGCCUCAGCUCCCAGCCCCGCCCGCCCCGGCGGGGGAGCAGACAAGCCUCUCGGGCUGAUUUAUGGGAUGCCUGGGGCAGCUCUUCUUCAGGCUGUGGCGACCAGGAUGGUUUCCUAUUAUGUAUCUCUCAUCCUUCUGAUAUGACCACAGCACCACUUGAGCAUCAAGUCUUUGAUUUUGCUACUAGCAAAAUGGUCUGGAUUAUCAUACCUAAAACUGUGUAGCUAAAGCCGAGAUACUGCUGGCAAGGCAAACUAUGGUCAUCCAGGGAUUUUUGCCUUAUUUCAGUCAUUAAGGCUUUCUUCCUAAGCUCACUGGGAAAGGAUGUUUUCUCCUCAGAAGCUAAAGAAAUUUGUCUAAUUCUCCAGCAAGAGUUUAAGAAAGGUUUAAUGCUGUAACUCUAGGUCAUACCACAAGAACUUGGUCCCAAAUGUGUACAGAAGGAUAUGUGCUCAAUAUCAGAGAAGUAGAGAACUAGUGUAACUUCUGGAUCUCUGCACAUUUGGUACGCUGAUGUAAGUCUGAGAUGUGCUAACAGACAAUGGUUACUCCAUCAGCCUGGAUUCCAGAGAGAGAAGACAUGGAGCAAAACCUCUGGACAACAUGUACAGGACAUGCAGUGUGAGAUUAAAUACAUACAUACAUACAUACAUACAUACUUAUUAUGAGGUGCCCAGAUUUUGGAAUCAUUAGCAUGCCCUAACAUAUAUAUCCUGCCUGAUAUACACCAAUGUAGAGAGGGCGGUAUUUCAGAAUAAAUUUUCCCAGAGCAAUGUUUAUUGUUUAAGCCUCCCCCACCUCCAAAAAAAAAUUAACUAGCCCCAGGAGGGGCAGUCUUUUCCCAGCCAGAAAGGUUUCUUAAGAUGUCAAAACAUCAUAAUAUAUAGAAAAUUAAACAUAUAUACAAUGCACAGUGGAUAAACCAAUCUCAAUGCCAAGGAGGCAGGGAUGCAUAUACAUUCUGCAGGAGGCCCUGAAAAUUAUACAGCAUUAGGUGUGAGAGGGUAUAACCCACAUGCUGAGAAGGGGAGCAAAUAUGUGGGAACAAGACAUAAUCUAUCUCCAGAGAUACAGACAAACUUCUCUGAUGAUAAUUUGACCUUAGAUAUCAAGACUUUCACUCCCAGCAUUUCAUCUUGAUUAGAACUUAAGAAUAUAAUACAAUAACCUUUAAAAAGUUACCACAAGGACAUUCAUCACAGCGUGGCUUAUAAAAGCACCACACUGGAUAUCUUCUCAAUAUCCCAUGGAAUUGUUGGGAAUUAUUGAAAUAAGUUACAGCACCCCCAUGUAUUAAAAUAUUAUAAUGCCAUUAAAAUCACAGUGUGAAAUUCCGUUUAUGAAAUAAGUAAAGUGAGUUGAGACUCUCAGUAUGUUUUGUGAAGUGACACACUUGAGUGAAUCAAUGUACCCAUUAUACUACCUGUGAUUAUUUCUGGUUAUUUGAAUAAUGGACAACUUUUUCUUGGAACCAGUUUGCAUUUUUCUAAUUAGUUUACAGGUAACAGACAUUACAGGUAAUUAAAAAUUAUUUUUAAAAAAAUGGAGGCAGGCAAGCCCAUAAUUUUCAGUAGCUAGUGUCCACACAGGACAUAACAUUUUGUCUCUGUGUUCAAAUCUGAGGAAAGACAAGUUAAAAACAGUUAUCAAAGCUGGGUACUCUGAAUAACCUCUUCUACUGCUUUGUCAAGUGGAGUAUUUUUAGACAUUUCAGACACACACACUGUGCACCAUUCACUUGCUCUCUGUCAGAGCCUUCUGUGUCCUAUAAUUUUACACUCUAAAAAUAGUGGUGAAAUAUUGAUUUCCUCUCUAACUUCUGCCCAGACUUUAGUUGGAUGCCUGGUAAGGUUUCCAUUCUGAGAAGAUCAGUACUUGACCCUGCACUUUGUUCUUUAGUGAAGAAGCACAUUGCAUCUUCAUACUCUCACCUCCGGCUGUCUAUGUCUUUUUCUUGGCAUUUGUGUUGUUAUAGUACAUUCAAAGGAGGAUCAUUAUUUUACUUUAAACCCAGCCAAUGAUAAAGUAUCCAAAGUGUGUACAGGUUUUCCAAGAAGGCAAACACCUAUCCCCAACAAGGCAGUAGCUAUAUUGGUUAUUUGUUUAUUUAUUCAUAAAUAAAUUGCCAUGGAUUAAA